rnacentral:rRNA from 1 species
CUUGGUCAUUUAGAGGAAGUAAAAGUCGUAACAAGGUAACCGUAGGUGAACCUGCGGUUGGAUCAUUACUGAUUUCUGUCACAUUCGUGACGACCACCCUUGUGCACCAGUUCACUGUAUCUUGCGAGUCUCUGACUUGCAGUUUAAACCCUUUUUUGUGUAAUCUGAUUCAUAUCUAAAUGAAAACAACUUUUGACAACGGAUCUCUUGGCUCUCGCAACGAUGAAGAACGCAGCGAAAUGCGAUACGUAGUGUGAAUUGCAGAAUUCCGUGAAUCAUCGAAUCUUUGAACGCAACUUGCACUCUGUUUCGGCAGAGUAUGCCUGUUUGAGAAUCUAUAGUAUUCUUUGCCUUUGUUGAUUGUGCUUGUCGCGGUCAGCAGAGCAAGAUGUGAGCGCUGUUGCGUGCAACUCGCUUGAAUUGCAUUUUACUUGGAGCAAGUGUAUGAAGGGAAACCGCUUCCUUGCUCCAUUAGAACCUUGGUCUCAAAUCAGGCAGGAAGACCCGCUGAACUUAAGCAUAUCAAUAAGCGGAGGA